GGGGAAUUUUGCGCAAUGGGGGAAACCCUGACGCAGCAACGCCGCGUGAGUGAUGAAGGCUUUCGGGUCGUAAAGCUCUGUCGAGAGGGAAGAAAUGAUAAGUGGUUAAUACCCAUUUUUCUUGACGGUACCUCUGAAGGAAGCACCGGCUAACUCCGUGCCAGCAGCCGCGGUAAUACGGAGGGUGCAAGCGUUGUUCGGAUUUAUUGGGCGUAAAGCGCGUGUAGGCGGUUUGUUAAGUCUGAUGUGAAAGCCCCGGGCUCAACCUGGGAAGUGCAUUGGAAACUGGCAGACUUGAAUACGGGAGAGGGUAGUGGAAUUCCUAGUGUAGGAGUGGAAUCCGUAGAUAUUAGGAGGAACACCGAUGGCGAAGGCAGCCCCCUGGGCCUGUACUGACGCUCAUGCACGAAAGCGUGGGGAGCAAAC
rnacentral:rRNA from 1 species